CAAUCGACGCAUACCACGUUGAAUACAUCGGUUCUCGUCCGAAUCACCGAAAUUAAGCAGCGCGUUCGCGGUUAAACUGAGAUGGGGGACCGCUUGGGAACACGCGUGUGUUGC
rnacentral:rRNA from 12 species